CGCCAUAGAGGGUGAUAGCCCCUUACACGAAAUUCGAACGGUGGUACUAAGCAUACGACAAGUAGGGCGGGACACGAGAAAUCCUGUCUGAACAUGGGGGGACCAUCCUCCAAGGCUAAAUACUCGUAAUCGACCGAUAGUGAACCAGUACCGUGAGGGAAAGGCGAAAAGAACCCCGGGAGGGGAGUGAAAUAGAUCCUGAAACCGUGUGCAUACAAACAGUAGGAGCGGACUUGUUCCGUGACUGCGUACCUUUUGUAUAAUGGGUCAGCGACUUACAUUCAGUGGCGAGGUUAACCGUAUAGGGGAGCCGUAGAGAAAUCGAGUCCGAAUAGGGCGACAGUCGCUGGGUGUAGACCCGAAACCAAGUGAUCUACCCAUGGCCAGGAUGAAGGUGCGGUAACACGCCCUGGAGGUCCGAACCCACUAAUGUUGAAAAAUUAGGGGAUGAGCUGUGGGUAGGGGUGAAAGGCUAAACAAACUUGGAAAUAGCUGGUUCUCUCCGAAAACUAUUUAGGUAGUGCCUCAAGUAUCACCAUCGGGGGUAGAGCACUGUUAUGGCUAGGGGGUCAUUGCGACUUACCAAACCAUUGCAAACUCCGAAUACCGAUGAGUGCGAGCUUGGGAGACAGACAUCGGGUGCUAACGUCCGGUGUCAAGAGGGAAACAACCCAGACCGCCAGCUAAGGUCCCAAAGAUUGGCUAAGUGGAAAACGAAGUGGGAAGGCUAAAACAGUCAGGAUGUUGGCUUAGAAGCAGCCAUCAUUUAAAGAAAGCGUAAUAGCUCACUGAUCGAGUCGUCCUGCGCGGAAGAUGUAACGGGGCUAAGCCAGUCACCGAAGCUGCGGAUAU
rnacentral:rRNA from 1 species